GUCCCUAUAUCGCAAUGGAUAGCGUUUUGAAAUUCCAAUACAAAGGUCGUGGGUUCGAAUCUCACCUGGGAUA